UGUUAGUAUGUUUUAACAGAGGAC
rnacentral:piRNA from 1 species